UACGUAGGGUGCAAGCGUUGUCCGGAAUUAUUGGGCGUAAAGAGCUCGUAGGCGGUUUGUCGCGUCGGCGUGUAGUAAACGUCGGGCAACAUCCGGCCAGCAUUCGCAGUCGAUACGGGCAGGCUAGAGUUCGGCAGGGGAGACUGAAUUCCUGGUGUAGCGGUGAAAUGCGCAGAUAUCAGGAGGAACACCGGUGGCGAAGGCGGGUCUCUGGGCCGAUACUGACGCUGAGGAGCGAAAGCGUGGGGAGCGAACAGG
rnacentral:rRNA from 1 species